CCUUCGUGGAGUGGACUCUGGUGAGAAACGGAUCGCCACCCACCACCUGCCCCAUGGAUGAUCUCAUGAGGUCCACUGCAGACCCAGCCC